GUGGGGAAUAUUGGACAAUGGGCGAAAGCCUGAUCCAGCCAUGCCGCGUGUGUGAAGAAGGUCUUCGGAUUGUAAAGCACUUUAAGUUGGGAGGAAGGGCAGUAAGUUAAUACCUUGCUGUUUUGACGUUACCGACAGAAUAAGCACCGGCUAACUCUGUGCCAGCAGCCGCGGUAAUACAGAGGGUGCAAGCGUUAAUCGGAUUUACUGGGCGUAAAGCGCGCGUAGGUGGUUUUGUAAGUUGGAGGUGAAAUCCACGGGCUCAACCUGGGAACUGCCUCCAAAACUGCAUGACUAGAGUACGGUAGAGGGUAGUGGAAUUUCCUGUGUAGCGGUGAAAUGCGUAGAUAUAGGAAGGAACACCAGUGGCGAAGGCGACUACCUGGACUGAUACUGACACUGAGGUGCGAAAGCGUGGGGAGCAAACAGGAUUAGAUACCCCUGUAGUCC
rnacentral:rRNA from 1 species